UUUUAACUGUACUCACGAACAACGUAAAUACAAUGAACAGUAAUAAUUCCGUUGUUACAAUUUUAGUUAUAAUAUAUUAUUCGAUAAUACAAUAUAUUCUUAUUUAUGUACCUGUGGUAACGCGUACACCACACAGAACAUUUUAGCCAUUGAUGUUGUAACGAAGACUAAUAAGGGCAGGGUAUCGAUCACUGCAAAGAAUAACAGGACGUUUCCUUUCUUUAUUUACCUGAAACACAAAUCCGGAUCCAAGUACUAGUACCAUUACGAGGUACGUCAGGUAGCGUCUACGUAACGUAUGAAAAGGCCAGAGACCGCUAACGCUUAGUAAUAUCCUGUCAUUAUUAUGAGAGCGAAAUUCAAUCGAGGUGGACUAUAGAUCAGUUCCCAUUAAGAAUUCUGUUUAAAGUAUAGACUACCAAGUGCUGCGAAACACGUAACGUUAACACGUUUGGAGACCAAUACGAACGACUGGAUCGAUCGCAAAAUUACAAGAUUGCCUGCCACAAAGUAGUGACGAAGCGGAAAGAAAUUAUUGUAGAAUCGUAUGAGAGAAAAUAUUAUUUUGGAUUCUGCACAUUGUGAGUGACAGAAUAUGCGACAUGAAAAUUUUAUUUGUGAGUAGAGAAAGACAGUCUAGAAUCAGACAGUUGCAUAAGAGGUACCGCAGUAUGUUACUGUACUAGAAAGCAGAACUUUGUGACUUUUAUCAAACGCGCUUUGCUCCACUCUUGUACUUCCGUUGAAGAUUUUUUAUACUUAUUCAAUUCUGAAUCAGGAGAAAUUUAAAUUCUCGUGGAAAAAUAAAUUCACACGCGUAAGUAUCAAUGUUCUUAUCUUUAUUUAUUAUAUUCUAAGUGUUGAUAUACAUUAUUAUUUAAAUAACAAACUAUUAUAUUCAUCGUUUAUAUUAACCAUAACUUCUUACGCCGAAAAGAAAAAUUUGGAACGUUUUAAAUUAUUGUACAGACCGCAGAACGGUAAAGUACGAAGCAGAUGCACGUACAACCUAAAAAAAAA